AUGACGGGGCGGGUCGGGAGGCGGGGAAAGCCGUCCAUGGCAAUCCUGGUGGCGUUGCUAAUGGCGUCAGUGGCACUGCCGCUCCUCAUGGUGCCCGACAUGCUCUCUAUGCCAGGCUCCAACGGCGUGGAUCGCGGCGCCGCCUUGUCGCUCCCACGCCCGUGCUUCAGCAGAUCCGUGAGGCUGGAGAACAGCAGGGAGAAAAGGGAGUCGUGGAUGGAGGUUCUGUACUUCUGUUGUAUCAACAUCUUCUCCAUGAGUCUUUUGCCCCCACUCUGUUUUUGGUUUGGGCCGAAACGUCAUCGUCUUGAUUCUUUACGUGGUUCAUUGGCUCAGACUUGUCCUACAUGGCCGAGCGAGAUCGAGGCUAGCCACCGGUAA
rnacentral:rRNA from 1 species